rnacentral:rRNA from 1 species
UCGCAAGGGCAACCGGCGAACGGGUGCGUAACACGUGAGGGACCUGCCUGGAAACGGGGGAUAGCCGGCCCAACGGCCGGGUAAUACCGCAUACGCUCUUGAGGGGGCAUCUCCUCGAGAGGAAACCUCCGGGGUUUUCAGAGGGCCUCGCGGCCUAUCAGCUAGUUGGCGGGGUAAUGGCCCACCAAGGCGACGACGGGUAGCUGGUCUGAGAGGAUGGCCAGCCACAUUGGGACUGAGAGACGGCCCAGACUCCUACGGGAGGCAGCAGUGGGGAAUCUUGCGCAAUGGCCGAAAGGCUGACGCAGCGACGCCGCGUGUGGGAGGAAGCUCUUCGGG